UACGAAGGGGGCUAGCGUUGUUCGGAAUCACUGGGCUUAAAGCGCGUGUAGGCGGGACGGCACGUCGGUCGCUGAAAUCCCCCGGCUUAACCGGGGAACGGGCGUCGAUACGACCGUCCUGGAGGGGCGUAGGGGGACCUGGAACUUCCGGUGGAGCGGUGAAAUGCGUUGAGAUCGGAAGGAACGCCCGUGGCGAAAGCGAGGUCCUGGACGCCUACUGACGCUGAGACGCGAAAGCCAGGGGAGCGAACGGG
rnacentral:rRNA from 1 species